AAGAACUGCUGGAGACAAUCUUUCUGGACUCCGCGCUGACAGAGGGAGUGCUUGCACAGGGUUGGCCUGGUGCAGUUUGCAUCAUGGGAUGCUGCUACAUGUGGAAGCUUUGAGCCAGAAGAAAAGAUGUUUGGUUUUCACAAGCCAAAGAUGUACCGAAGUACAGAGGACUGCUGUAGAUGCAGAGCCAAGCCCUCCAGCUCGUGGUUCACGGACAGUAAACGUUACAAAAAGGAUUUCCAGAGCUGUUUUGGGUUACAUGAGACUCGCGCGGGAGACAUCUGCAACACCUGUAUGCUGCUUGUGAAAGGAUGGAAGGAGCUGCCGGCAGGAUCCAAACAACAAACAAACAAACAAACAAACAAAACUGAAAUCAUGUGGUAGAUGCAAGAGCAGGCCCCAGUCUAAAGACAACAUCAAAAUCAAAGAAAGUGAAAACUCUAUCUGGAAAUAGGAUAAAAGGCAACCAGAUCAGUAAACUGCAGAAGGAAUUUAAACUCCACAAUUCUGAUGCUCACGGCACCUCAAAGGCCUCUCCAGCCGAGUCUCCAUGCUACAGUAACCAGUAGAACUCCGCUUUUUUUUCCUUCUUAGAUCUUACCUACUGGAAAAGACAGAAAAUAUGUUGUGGGAUCAUCUACAAGGGCCGUUUUGGGGACGUCCUCAUCGACAUUCAUCUCUUCAAGCCUUGCUGCAGCAGUAAGAAAGCAGCUGCCUCUGGAUACGUGCUAUUCUGCCAAAAGACAUUUUCUAGAAUACUUUUUGAUGGGUUACCCUCCUUACCCUUCAUCCAACAAACUCUGAAGCCAGCUUACUGCAAGAAAAAGAAGUAUACAUAA